rnacentral:rRNA from 1 species
CAGUCGCCGCGGUAAAACGAAGGGGGCUAGCGUUGUUCGGAUUUACUGGGCGUAAAGGGCGCGUAGGCGGACUGAUAAGUCAGGGGUGAAAUCCCAAGGCUCAACCUUGGAACUGCCUUUGAUACUGUUUGUCUUGAGUUCGAGAGAGGUAAGUGGAACUGCGAGUGUAGAGGUGAAAUUCGUAGAUAUUCGGAGGAACACCAGUGGCGAAGGCGGCUCACUGGACCAUUACUGACGCUGAGGUGCGAAAGCGUGGGGAGCAAACAGGAUUAGAUACCCCAGUAGUCCCUGUCUCUUAUAC